UACGUAGGUGACAAGCGUUGUCCGGAUUUACUGGGCGUAAAGAGCGCGCAGGCGGUCGUUCAAGUCGAGUGUGAAAGCCCCCGGCUCAACUGGGGAGGGUCACUCGAUACUGAUCGACUCGAAGGCAGGAGAGGGAAGUGGAAUUCCCGGUGUAGAGGUGAAAUUCGUAGAUAUCGGGAGGAACACCAGUGGCGAAGGCGGCGAUCUGGGAAGAUACUGACGCUGAGGUGCGAAAGCGUGGGGAGCAAACAGG
rnacentral:rRNA from 1 species